AUGUAAAAUUUUGAUUCAAUUCCCUCGAAAUCUCUUGGGGGGAGGUGAGAUUUGUGGAUGCUCAAAAUACACUACGAAAUCUCUCCAAUUCCCUCUAAUUCCUCAACUUUCUCAAAUUCUAAUUGAAUACACUUGGAAUGUUAUAAAUUUCUUUAAAAUUCUAAUUGAAUACACCCGGAUUUCUAAGGAUUUUCAUAAACUAUCUUAAAAUCCUGAUUGAAUACA
rnacentral:lncRNA from 1 species